AUUGAACGCUGGCGGCAUGCCUUACACAUGCAAGUCGAACGGUAACGGGCCUUCGGGUGCCGACGAGUGGCGAACGGGUGAGUAAUACAUCGGAACGUGCCCGAUCGUGGGGGAUAACGAGGCGAAAGCUUUGCUAAUACCGCAUACGAUCUACGGAUGAAAGCCGGGGACCGCAAGGCCUUGCGCGGGCGGAGCGGCCGAUGGCAGAUUAGGUAGUUGGUGGGAUAAAAGCUUACCAAGCCGACGAUCUGUAUCUGGUCUGAGAGGAUGAUGAGCCACACUGGGACUGAGACACGGCCCAGACUCCUACGGGAGGCAGCAGUGGGGAAUUUUGGACAAUGGGCGCAAGCCUGAUCCAGCCAUGCCGCGUGCAGGAUGAAGGCCUUCGGGUUGUAAACUGCUUUUGUACGGAACGAAAAGCCUUCUUUUAAUACAGGAGGGUCAUGACGGUACCGUAAGAAUAAGCACCGGCUAACUACGUG
rnacentral:rRNA from 1 species